rnacentral:rRNA from 1 species
ACUUUUAACAACGGAUCUCUUGGUUCUGGCAUCGAUGAAGAACGCAGCGAAAUGCGAUAAGUAAUGUGAAUUGCAGAAUUCAGUGAAUCAUCGAAUCUUUGAACGCACAUUGCGCCCGCCAGCAUUCUGGCGGGCAUGCCUGUUCGAGCGUCAUUUCAACCCUCAAGCCCAGCUUGGUGUUGGGGCCCUACGGUCGACGUAGGCCCUUAAAGGUAGUGGCGGACCCUCCCGGAGCCUCCUUUGCGUAGUAACUUAACGUCUCGCACUGGGAUCCGGAGGGACUCUUGCCGUAAAACCCCCAAAACUUUUACAGGUUGACCUCGGAUCAGGUAGGAAUACCCGCUGAACUUAAGCAUAUCAAUAAGCGGAGGAAAAGAAACCAACAGGGAUUGCCCCAGUAACGGCGAGUGAAGCGGCAACAGCUCAAAUUUGAAAUCUGGCCCCAGGCCCGAGUUGUAAUUUGCAGAGGAUGCUUUUGGCGCGGUGCCUUCCGAGUUCCCUGGAACGGGACGCCAUAGAGGGUGAGAGCCCCGUACGGUUGGACACCAAGCCUUUGUAAAGCUCCUUCGACGAGUCGAGUAGUUUGGGAAUGCUGCUCAAAAUGGGAGGUAUAUUUCUUCUAAAGCUAAAUAUAGGCCAGAGACCGAUAGCGCACAAGUAGAGUGAUCGAAAGAUGAAAAGCACUUUGAAAAGAGGGUUAAACAGCACGUGAAAUUGUUAAAAGGGAAGCGCUUGUGACCAGACUUGCGUCCGGUGAAUCACCCAGCUCUCGCGGCUGGGGCACUUCGCCGGCACAGGCCAGCAUCAGCUUGCCGUCGGGGACAAAAGCUUCAGGAACGUAGCUCUCUUCGGGGAGUGUUAUAGCCUGUUGCAUAAUACCCUUCGGCGGGCUGAGGUACGCGCUCCGCAAGGAUGCUGGCGUAAUGGUCAUCAGCGACCCGUCUUGAAACACGGACCAAGGAGUCAACCUUAUGUGCGAGUGUUUGGGUGUUAAACCCCUACGCGUAAUGAAAGUGAACGCAGGUGAGAGCUUCGGCGCAUCAUCGACCGAUCCUGAUGUUCUCGGAUGGAUUUGAGUAAGAGCAUAUAGGGUUGGACCCGAAAGAAGGUGAACUAUGCGUGUGUAGGGUGAAGCCAGAGGAAACUCUGGUGGAGGCUCGCCAGCGGUUCUGACGUGCAAAUCGAUCGUCAAACAUGCGCAUGGGGGCGAAAGACUAAUCGAACCUUCUAGUAGCUGGUUUCCGCCGAAGUUUCCCUCAGGAUAGCAGUGUUGAACUCAGUUUUAUGAGGUAAAGCGGAAUGAUUAGGGACUCGGGGGCGCUAUAUUGCCUUCAUCCAUUCUCAAACUUUAAAUAUGUAAGAAGCCCUUGUUGCUUAAUUGAACGUGGGCAUUCGAAUGUAUCAACACUAGUGGGCCAUUUUUGGUAAGCAGAACUGGCGAUGCGGGAUGAACCGAACGCGAGUUAAGGUGCCAGAGUAGUCGCUCAUCAGACACCACAAAAGGUGUUAGUACAUCUUGACAGCAGGACGGUGGCCAUGGAAGUCGGAAUCCGCUAAGGACUGUGUAACAACUCACCUGCCGAAUGUACUAGCCCUGAAAAUGGAUGGCGCUCAAGCGACUCACCCAUACCUCGCCCUCAGUGUAGAAACGAUGCGCUGAGGAGUAGGCGGACGUGGAGGUCAGUGACGAAGCCUAGGGCGUGAGCCCGGGUAGAAACGGCCUCUAGUGCAGAUCUUGUGGUAGUAGCAAAUACUUCAAUGAGAACUUGAAGGACCGAAGUGGGAAAGGUUCCAUGUGAACAGCGGUUGGACAUGGGUUAGUCGAUCCUAAGCCAUAGGGAAGUUCCGUUUCAAAGGGGCACUUGUGCCCCGUAUGGCGAAAGGGAAGCCGGUCAAUAUUCCGGCACCUGGAUGUGGGUUUUGCGCGCAACGCAACUGAACGCGGAGACGACGGCGGGGCCCCGGGCAGAGUUCUCUUUUCUUCUUAACAGUCUAUCACCCUGAAAUCGGUUUGUCCGGAGCUAGGGUUUAACGGCU